GACGAACGCUGGCGGCGUGCCUAACACAUGCAAGUCGAACGGGGUGAUUCCUUCGGGGAUCGCUUAGUGGCGAACGGGUGAGCAACGCGUGAGAAACCUGCCUUUCAGUGGGGGACAACAGUUGGAAACGACUGCUAAUACCGCAUAAUGUUUCGAGAGGGCAUCCUUUUGAAACCAAAGCUUUAUGUGCUGAAAGAUGGUCUCGCGUCUGAUUAGCUAGUUGGUGAGGUAACGGCUCACCAAGGCGACGAUCAGUAGCCGGUCUGGGAGGAUGAACGGCGACAUUGAGACUGGGAUACGGCCGAGACGCCUACGGGAGGCAGCAGUGGGGGAGAUUGGGCAAUGGGGGAAACCCUGACCCAGCAACGCCGCGUGAAGGAAGAAGGCCUUCGGGUUGUAAACUUCUUUUACCAGGGACGAAGAACGUGACGGUACCUGGAGAAAAAGCAACGGCUAACUACGUGCCAGCCGCCGCGGUAACAC
rnacentral:rRNA from 1 species